rnacentral:pre_miRNA from 1 species
AGAUACAUCCAUUCCAAUGACAAGUAUUUUCGGACGGAGGGAAUACAAGAUUCGACUCCAUGAAGUAGCUUUACCUCUAGCAAUAGAAUAAAAAAAACUCCCUCUGUCCGGAAAUACUUGUCGGACAAAUUGAUGUAUC